rnacentral:rRNA from 1 species
UGGCUCAGGACGAACGGCUGGCGGCGUGCUUAACACAUGCAAGUCGAACGGAGGAGUUAUUUCGGUAAAUCCUUAGUGGCGAACGGGUGAGUAACGCGUGGGCAAUCUGCCCUUCAGAUGGGGACAACAUCCCGAAAGGGGUGCUAAUACCGAAUACGAUCGUAUUCCCGCAUGGGAUUGUGAUGAAAGAUGGCCUCUAUUUAUAAGCUAUCGCUGAAGGAUGAGCCUGCGUCUGAUUAGCUAGUUGGUGGGGUAACGGCCUACCAAGGCGAUGAUCAGUAGCCGGUCUGAGAGGAUGAACGGCCACAUUGGGACUGAGACACGGCCCAAACUCCUACGGGAGGCAGCAGUGGGGAAUAUUCCGCAAUGGACGAAAGUCUGACGGAGCAACGCCGCGUGAGUGAAUGAAGGUUUUCGGACUGUAAAGCUCUGUUGUUUAGGACGAAAGUGCCUGUUGCGAACAGUUACAGGUAUUGACGGUACUGAACGAGGAAGCCACGGCUAACUACGUGCCAGCCGCAGC